rnacentral:siRNA from 1 species
GCCGAUGCAUAGAAUGGGAAAUCA